CCCUUAGAUGUUCUGGGCCGCACGCGUGCUACACUGAUGCAUUCAACGAGUCUAAAACCUGGUCUGAUAGGGCUGGGUAAUCUUUUGAAUGUGCAUCGUGAUUGGGAUAGAUGAUUGCAAUUCUUCAUCUUCAACGAGGAAUGCCUAGUAAACGCAAGUCAUCAGCUUGCAUUGAUUACGUCCCUGCCCUUUGUACACACCGCCCGUCGCUCCUACCGAUUGAAUGUUCCGAUGAAUACCAUGGACUGAGAGUAUGAAUGGGUUCGCCUAUUUCUGCUUCUCGGGAAGUGGAGUAAAUCUUAACAUUUAGAGGAAGGAGAAGUCGUAACA
rnacentral:rRNA from 1 species